rnacentral:rRNA from 1 species
UGGGGGAUAUUGCACAAUGGGCGAAAGCCUGAUGCAGCGACGCCGCGUGGGGGAUGAAGGCUUUCGGGUUGUAAACCUCUUUCGCUAUCGAACAAGGCCCGCUUAGGGUGGGUUGAGGGUAGGUGGAGAAGAAGCGCCGGCUAACUACGUGCCAGCAGCCGCGGUAAUACGUAGGGCGCGAGCGUUGUCCGGAAUUAUUGGGCGUAAAGGGCUUGUAGGCGGCUUGUUGCGCCUGCUGUGAAAACGCGGGGCUUAACUUCGCGCGUGCAGUGGGUACGGGCAGGCUUGAGUGUGGUAGGGGUGACUGGAAUUCCAGGUGUAGCGGUGGAAUGCGCAGAUAUCUGGAGGAACACCGAUGGCGAAGGCAGGUCACUGGGCCAUUACUGACUCUGAGGAGCGAAAGCAUGGGUAGCGAACAGG